rnacentral:ncRNA from 1 species
ACCAAGGAGUCUAACAUAUGUGCAAGUUAUUGGGAUAUAAACCUAAUAGCGUAAUUAACUUGACUAUUAAUGGGAUUAGUUUUUUAACUAUUUAUAGUUAAUUAACGCAAUCCCGGGGCGCUCUAUAUAGUUAUGUAUAAUAAUAUUUAUAUUAUUUAUGCCUCUAACUGGAACGUACCUGGAGCAUAUAUGCUGUGACCCGAAAGAUGGUGAACUAUACUUGAUCAGGUGGAAGUCAGGGGAAACCCUGAUGGAAGACCGAAACAGUUCUGACGUGCAAAUCGAUUGUCAGAAUUGAGUAUAGGGGCGAAAGACCAAUCGAACCAUCUAGUAGCUGGUUCCUUCCGAAGUUUCCCUCAGGAUAGCUGGUGCAUUUAACUGUUGUAUAAAAUAAUCUUAUCUGGUAAAGCGAAUGAUUAUAGGCCUUAGGAUCGAAACGAUCUUAACCUAUUCUCAAACUUUAAAUGGGUAAAAGCUUAACUUUCUUGAUAUGAAGUUUAAGGUUAUGAUAUAAUGUGCCCACUUUUGGGUGGGUCACUUUUGGUAAGCAGAACUGGCGCUUUGGGAUGAACCAAACGUAAUGUUACGGUGCCCAAAUUAACAACUCAUACAGAAACCAUGAAAGACGUUGGUUGCUUAAAAUGGCAGGACGGUGAUCAUGGAAGUCAAAAUCCGCUAAGGAGUGUGUAACAACUCACCUGCCGAAGCAACUAGCCCUUAAAAUGGAUGGCGCUUAAGUUGUAUACCUAUACAUUACCGCUAAAGUAGAUGGUUUAUAUUACUUGUAAUAUAAAUUUUGAAACUUUAGUGAGUAGGAAGGUACAAUGGUGUGCAUAGAAGUGUUUGGCGUAAGCCUGCAUGGAGCCGCUAUUGGUACAGAUCUUGGU